rnacentral:piRNA from 1 species
UACAGAUCCUGAUGUGCAGCAGCAAAUUGU